AUUGAACGCUGGCGGCAUGCUUUACACAUGCAAGUCGAACGGCAGCACUGGGGGCUUGCUCCUGGGUGGCGAGUGGCGCACGGGUGAGUAAUGUAUCGGAACGUCCCUGCACUUGGGGGUUAACUUGUCGAACUAGGGGCUAAUACCGCAUGAGCUCUGGGGAUGAAAGCGUUGGACCUUGGUGUCUCGUGUUACUUGAGCGCCCGUUCUAUGAUUUGGUUGUUGGUGGGGUAAAGUCCUACCAAGUCGGCGAUCUGUCGCUGGUCUGAGAGGACGAGCAGCCACACGGGAACUGAGACACGGCCCAGACGCCUACGGGAGGGAGCAGUCGGGAAUGUUGGGCAAUGGGCGGAAGCCUGAUCCAACAAUGCCGCGUGCAGGACGGAGACCUUCGGGUUGUGAACAGCUUUUGUGCAGAACGAAAAGUCUCUGGCUAAUAUCUAGAGAUCGUGACGGUACUGUAAGAAUAAGCACCGGCUAACUACGUG
rnacentral:rRNA from 1 species